UACGAGGGGUGCAAGCGUUGUUCGGAAUCACUGGGCGUAAAGGGAGCGUAGGCGGGAUGCCAAGUCAGUUGUUUAAUCCCGGGGCCCAACCCCGGACUUGCAAUUGAAACUGGCAUUCUUGAAUAGGUCAUAGGCGGAUGGAAUUCCUGGUGUAGCGGUGGAAUGCGUAGAUAUCAGGAAGAACACCUGUGGUGAAGACGGUUCGCUGGGACCUUAUUGACGCUGAUGCUCGAAAGCGUGGGUAG
rnacentral:rRNA from 1 species